GACGAACGCUGGCGGCGUGCUUAACACAUGCAAGUCGAGCGAAAAGGCCCUGCGCUUGCGGGGUGCUCGUGAGGCGAACGGGUGAGUAACACGCGAGUAAACUCCCCCUGAAUUAGGGAUAUCUUUAGGAAAAUGGGGCUCAUACCGCAUAUGAGAUCUUGCAGCGUGGUGGGGGUUGGAAAGUUUCGGCGGUUGGGGCUCGUCUAGCGGGUUCUCCGCUUGUUGGGCGGGUUGGGGCUUUCCAAGGUUUUGACGGGUAGCCCGCCUUGGAGGGUGACCGGCCACAAUGGGACUGAGAGACGGCGCAGACUCCAACGGGAGGCAGAAGUGGAGAAUAUGACACAGUAGGCGGGAGCCUGAUGCGACAACGCCGCGUGCGGGAUGACGGGCUUCUGGUGGUGAACCGCUUUCGCCUGUGACGAAGCGUGAGUGACGGUAAUGGGUAAAAAAGCACCGGCUAACUACGUG
rnacentral:rRNA from 1 species